AUCCAGCUGUGGAGUCCCAAAUAGGACGAAACGCGCGUCCUGGAU
rnacentral:hammerhead_ribozyme from 1 species